rnacentral:rRNA from 1 species
GAUGAACGCUGGCGGCGUGCCUAAUACAUGCAAGUCGAGCGAAUGGAUCAAGAGCUUGCUCUUAUGAAGUUAGCGGCGGAUGGGUGAGUAACACGUGGGUAACCUGCCCAUAAGACUGGGAUAACUCCGGGAAACCGGGGCUAAUACCGGAUAACAUUUUGAACCGCAUGGUUCGAAAUUGAAAGGCGGCUUCGGCUGGCACUUAUGGAUGGACCCGCGUCGCAUUAGCUAGUUGGUGAGGUAACGGCUCACCAGGGCAGCGAUGCGUAGCCGACCUGAGAGGGUGAUCGGCCACACUGGGACUGAGACACGGCCCAGACUCCUACGGGAGGCAGCAGUAGGGAAUCUUCCGCAAUGGACGAAAGUCUGACGGAGCAACGCCGCGUGAGUGAUGAAGGCUUUCGGGUCGUAAAACUCUGUUGUUAGGGAAGAACAAGUGCUAGUUGAAUAAGCUGGCACCUUGACGGUACCUAACCAGAAAGCCACGGCUAACUACGUGCCAGCCGCCGCAGUAA